rnacentral:tRNA from 1 species
UCCCUGGUGGCUUAGACGGUAAAGCGUCUGUCUAGAAUGCGGGAGACCUGAGUUCGAUCCUUGGGUUGGGAA